GUCGGUUUGAAAGACAGACCUCAUACAAAGCAGUUUAUUAAAGCAGUUCUCAUCUCCAGGCGUUAUCCCAGAUAUCCCCUUCUUUUUGAGUUUCUACAUUAAGCGCUAAGUAGUUUCUGUAAAACAGGCCAUAUUCGCCUAAAAGGCUCAAUAAAAGGAAAUAUCACAUGUCUAAUAAAAUGACUGGUUUAGUAAAAUGGUUUAAUGCAGAUAAAGGUUUUGGUUUUAUCUCCCCUACAGAUGGAAGCAAGGAUGUGUUCGUGCACUUCUCCGCUAUCCAGAGUGACGACUACCGCACUCUGUUUGAAGGCCAGAAGGUCGAGUUCUCCAUUGAGCAGGGCGCCAAAGGCCCAGCAGCAGCAAACGUUGUGCCUACAGCGUAAAAUAAUUCCUGAAUCCCUUCCUCUGCGAUAACGAAGACGGCCU
rnacentral:sRNA from 1 species